AAACCUUCAAGCCAGAUUUUGGCGGAAUCUAUCUCUGGUGCCGGCUCAGGGAAUAUUGAUUCUUCAACCGAUUUCUUCAGAAAAGAAACGCCCUCAAGUCGAAGCCUCGUCUUGAGCAACAGCGGAGAUGAAAUGUACCCAAGUUCUAGCGAGAUAUAUGUUGAUCAUCCAGAUACGAAUCCUAAAGUUCAGUAUUCCCUUGUGAAGACAAUUGGAUCCGGGUAUUCAUUAUUUACUGU